CUGUUUUGUUGGUGCUGUUGAGUUUGAUGUUGAUUGUUUCUCCAGUAAGAGCUGCACAGACCAAUAGAAGGAAGCUGGUUCAGAUGAUCCAACCCCAUGUUCCGAGCAAUAUUUACUGCACCUGUUCCCACUCCUGACUCCGAGGUCAUGUGGGAUCCAAUCAUAACCCCAUCAUCCUUCACAGUUACAGAAUUCGAUAUUGGACUAGGGUUAGGAUUAGGGUUCUGGGUGGCUCUCAGUAAGGCCAGCAGAUGAGAAUUCUGCGGCGACGCCCAAAGAAUUGGGUUGGAAGGUAUCUCGUGAUCAAACCCACCUCCCAGACCCGAUUUUCC
rnacentral:lncRNA from 1 species